rnacentral:lncRNA from 1 species
UAUAACAGUUCAAGAUAUAAAAUGUUUACAGGUUGAUGACAUGAUUAUUACUGUUUGAUAGACAGGUUCUUUAAAAAACUCAGUGUUUUUGAGGAUUUGCACUCAGGCUACAAGCAAAUAUCUAAGGACCUGUUUUGCUUGAUAAAAUGGUGGUUGAUGAGUAUUUUUCUCUUUUAAAUAUUAAAAUACAACAUACUGUUUUCUGUUUUCAAAGACUUAAAUUGGAANNN